CAAAACGUUUUACAAUAUUGGUGAGUUGCAGUCCUUGCAGAGAUAAUGACAAUACUCCUUAUGUGCUUGCUCAUAAAAUAUGAACUGAAGGUGAUCACUGAGAAUGAGACCUGCUGUAAAAUACCAGAAUGACAGAUAAAAAUAUUAGUAGGAGGUUUUAUUUUGUUUUGUUUUAUUAGGUACAUAACCAAUCUUUAUGUAAGGAAAGAUGGAUUCAGCUUGUAUUGAAGAGGUAAUUAACAAAUUAUCUGAAAGUUACCCUACUCAAGUGGUAAAGGAUAUACUUGGAAACAGCAAAACAAAUAUAGCAGGCUUAUGCAAAGCAGAGAUGGCAACCAAAGCUUCUGUAACAUGCUAUAUUAUGCUGUCAAAAUCUAGAGCAAUACACAGAGGAAACUGCUUUAUCAACAGAAUCUGCUGGUAAUCUGAAAAACACGUAUUUGUACAUAGCUUCUAAAUAAUGGAUUUAAGGGGCAUUUGCUGAUGCCUGCUGAGGGGCCCGUGCCUGGUGAAAGUUUACAGAGCAUCUUGUACAUCCUUCUCCCUCCAGAGAUACUGAAUGGAACCUGCUUGUAGGAAACCCAAGAGUAAAUGAACUGCUGAAAAGGGAAAAGAGAACCAGAAUUUGGAGGAAGACUAAAGCAGGAAUGGGGAAGGAGAUCUUAGUCUGCAAUGUGGAUUCGGAAUUCUGCAAGCAUAUUCACAUGAAGGCUAGGAUCACAGGAUGGCUUAAGACGUCAAGAACAUCUUGUGAGCACAUUUGGCUACUCCUGCAGGCAAGGUGAAGAAGAGAAUUAACAUCCCAUUUUCAGCUACCAGUGCCGUGACGCUACUCCUGACAUUGCUGCUGGUGCUAUAAAAGCAGGUCAGUCUCCCUCAGGUCUGAGAGCCUAGUCUGUGGGAAGAGUGAGUAAAAGCACUCGUCUAAGUCAGAGUCCCACAGGUUGUCUCCCUGGUCCGUGAGAGACUGGAAAUGCCUCUCUUAGCAUAACUGAACUCUCUUGCUCAGCUUGACUGAAGAGAGAGUAUGGCUGUGGCGCCUGCUGUGAAAAGGACUUUUCUGAGGAAACAAACCAGUGAAGAAGUGAUGGUGACCAGACCUGGACUAACAAAGCUCUAAUAAGGUACAACACGUUGCCUGAAGCUAUGCCAGAGGCCAGUCCACCAGGACAGACUAAUCAAGGGCAUGGACAAUACGUCUGUAUUUUGGGUUUUGUCUGACCUUAACCCUCUGUAUUUUGGGUUUUGUCUCACCUUAACCUCCAGUCCCACACUGGAGCAGCACACACCGCGCUCGGUCGUUCCAAGGCUACCAUCAGCAGCACUCCUGAGUAGCCUUACUCCAAAACCCUUCAGAGGGAAGGAAAAUCAUUUAGAGCAAUUCCUCUGAAGAAGAAAAGUUUAACAGCAUAGUAUACAUUUUUGUGUGUGUGGCACAAACCUUUCUGUCCCCUCAAGGUUCCUUCUUUUCCAGAUUUCCAGGCUGUUCCUUGCCCACAUCUCUCCUUUCAGCUCCCUCCUUUGCAGUAGGACCCAAGGGUUUUGCACCCAGUUUUUCCUGAUUCUCAUUGGUCUGAGAGAUGUCCUAGUCAUAAGGUUAGAGCUGAAUACCAGGCAUCUUACACCUGCAGGGGAAAAAAAAAAAAAAAAAAAAAAAAAAGGUUGCUACUUGUUUAUUUCCCCUGUCUUGUUUUGUGCAUUGUGCUCUUCGUAUUCAAGCAGCACACCUGAUCUUUCUCAGACAAUUUCUCUCUUGUUAUUUUCUCUUAUAGUCUCCCACAGCAACAUCCCCAAAGUUAUCUAAUAAACAGGGAUGUUAUGACAUCCUUGCACAAUAACUCUAAAUACCAUCACAGGAAACAUCACCUAAUAAACGAUACAAUUACUGCAAAGAUGAAAACCAGCGCUCCUGAGCACACACAGUGAAUUGUUCUUUGUCUUGUCGAACAAAUUAUUUUCUUUUUCUUUUUUUCCUUGAGUGCUCUGUUUUGCUUUGCUUUGCUUUUCAAGUUGCCUCUUAUUUUUCCUCAUUGCUUGUGAUUGCAUGCAAGAAAUGUAUAUCUCCGGGCACAGAAAUACAAAGCGCAGUCGUUCAGAGCUGCCACUGGAAUGCAGGUCCACCCAGUUCAUUUUUUUCCUAUCGUACUGGGUGGAGUGGCUCCACAGAUACUCCUAUACACACCCUUUCUUUUUUUGGUACUGUUAAUUAUUUUAAGCUACUCUUCAGGUUGGUGGCAUAGCUUAUUACCAUGGAAAAUGAGCAGUUCCUCUCCUUCUGUGGUGACUAGUAAGUAAUGAAAAGCUUUUGAGCUCAAUUUAUUCUGACUUUCACCGCAUCUUGCUGAUUUAUCUAUUGUGCUCUAAAAAAAAAGGCCAAUUAAACCCAGCGGUUAAACCAGACAGACAGAAGGGCAUGCAUUUUCCUAUCAAAAGGUGUUUCUGAAACAAAAAUAAAGACAGGCUCAAAGCCAAUAAAUGGUAUCUCUUGCUUCGACCUGCGGGCAGCACUGCCCGAUGAGCACUGGCUCUGCUGUGGCAGGAGCACCUCGUUACCUCCCCACUUAGCUUUGGUACCACCUUCAGUCCCUGCAGUGUGCUACAAAGGAGCCCGAAUGCUGUAUUUUAAUAAUCUGUCUUGCUCACAAAAGCAGAGCCAGCAGCAGCCAAAGGGAGAGCAGUUGUAGGCCAACCAAAACACAGCUGUUGUAGCUCAUUUUGAAGUCCACCAGCCUUUUCUGCUGGCCCUUUUCAGAGAUUAAGCUUAAUCUCCCCUAUGUGAGGCUUAUGUCGCCUUAUUCGAGAAUGGUUUCACUCACAGCCUUUGAGUUUUUUCCUUUUUACCUCAUCCUUUGUGGUUAUGGCAGGGAAACGGCUUUCAUAGAAAUGUACCCAGGCAAAAAGCAAAGCUGAGCAAAACCUGUGUGGUUCUGCCACGCAGCCACCAGCCAGGCCAAGGCGCGCAAGAGCCCAGGAGCCCGCAGACUUCCUGAGAACACAGGGGCUGAUAUUUUGGUAUUCCGUCAAAAGCAGCUUUAUCUCAAAUCCAGAUGUGAGCAAAGCGUGGGAGAAGGGGCAGUUGUCUGCUCUGCACGGAUCAAAAUUUCAGCAAAAUGUGCUGUGAGCUGCAGCACGGUGAAGCAGCCGAGUUCCACCAGCCUCCCUGCCUGCCUCUGUCUGUGCUGUGCGACGGCCAAAGCAGAGUUAUAAGUAACUCCUCUCCUCUGCCAAGAAACUCCCUGCGCUGGUUUAUCCAGAAGGGUUUCUGCACCAAAGAUAGCCUCUGGUGUGGGGGUUACGUUCCGGGUCUGCUUUUAGGGGAGAGCUGUUCCAAGAGAAGUUGAAAGUCUGUCUUCAGGUCUGUGAUUAUUGUGAAAGCCUGGACUGGAGCUUUUUUGGCUGCUUGCGUGUCACAGCACUUUUCUAACGACCACUGGUUACUGCCUUGGUUGAAAAGGUUUCCUAGAUUAACCAGGAAAAAAAAAAAAAAAACACCUCCACCCUUGGUUCUUUUUCAUUUUAUAAUUAUCUGCUGUUUCUCCAGAGCUGCUCUUUUAUCCUUAUAUUUUGCUCUUGCCUGGAUGUGCCCAGUGCCUUGCAAUUAAAAGGAAGCAGCUCUAUAUAGUUCCCAACCUGAGAUCACAUGCUGCAAAUCCUUGCUCAUUAGAGCAGUCCCACCAGGGCGAAUGAGUCUGUUUCACAUCAGGUCUGCUUGCUUUGUGAAGUUUAGGAGGUUCUGACCUUAAGUUGUGUGUUUUAAAAUGUCAGCAAAAUGUUCUCUGACUCACCAUUAAUAGUAUAAUUGCUAAUGUGAUGAAUAUCCAAAAAAAAAAAAAAAAAAAUCCAAAUGUGUUUAUAUAACUAUCAGAAAACUUGCAUUCCCAAAGGGAAGGAGCAGUUGUACUUUCAACAUCACUUGUGUUUUGGCCCAGAGGUGUCCUAUGUGCUGUGCCAAAAAGUAAUAAUGCAAGAGACAGGGUCAACAAAGGACUGAAUUUAUUGAAAACUCCUUACCUGUGCUACUUGGCAGUGCAACGAGGUAUUCAAAGAAGGGAAGAGUUUUAAAAAUAAGUUUGUUGUGUACUUUGUUUUUUUUUCUGUAGUUCUCGGCUUUUCUGGUUUCACUUCUGGUUUGUGUUCGAUCAGUCAGUGCUUCUAUGCUCUAUGUGCUCCGAAUUUAAAAGACAUCUGCUUCACUUCAGCUGUAUCCCCCACUGUCAGAUUCUGCUUCCUCCUGUUAUAUGAAUGCUAAAUUAUUGCUGGCACGGAUAUGCAAGGAAAGAAAAUGCGAAGCCAGAGCCACAGAUAAUUGCUGAUCCUUUUAAAGUGCCCAAACCUCUCAUGAGAUCUUUGAUGCAGAGAGUGUUCAGCAAGGCAGACUAAGGUUUGACCCUCUUUUUGCAAGCACAAGAGCAAGCACCUGCAAUUACUUUAUGAAAACAACCACUGGUAAGAGUUACAAAUCAAUACGUGCAAUGUGCUUGGGAUAUUUUAUUUUGAUUAAACAUGCUUCAUGUAACAUUCA